UACGGGGGGGGCAAGCGUUGUUCGGAAUUACUGGGCGUAAAGGGCUCGUAGGCGGCCAACUAAGUCAGACGUGAAAUCCCUCGGCUUAACCGGGGAACUGCGUCUGAUACUGGAUGGCUUGAAUCCGGUAGAGGGAUGCGGAAUUCCAGGUGUAGCGGUGAAAUGCGUAGAUAUCUGGAGGAACACCGGUGGCGAAGGCGGCACCCUGGACCGGCAUUGACGCUGAGGAGCGAAAGCCAGGGGAGCAAACGGG
rnacentral:rRNA from 1 species